CAGACUUUGGGACUGGUCCUCUGUCUUCCUGGUGGGGCCUCCCUGAAAUAAAUCCCUUUCUUGUUUCCCCACCACUGGUCUCUCUGCUUUUGGGUUUUGUCGAUGGCAAGUGGCCGAACCUGGUCUGCUUGGGAGCCCUGGAGCCGGGCGCUCUUGUGCCCUUGGCCUCUGGUAACAGUCCGUUUGUGGACAGACAAGCUGGGGACAAAAUAAAGAAAGCUAGUUGGGGUGACAUUUACUAUUUCUGGCGGCUUGGUUCUGGCAUGCCUUCUCCAAAUAUUUAACCAAUAGUUAAAGUAGUUUUACUUUCAGGUUUGGUUUCUUCUCCUCAAUGCUUUUAACUUCCUCAGUCUGUUCUCUUGCUCCGUGGGAUGAGGAAACAGAACAAGGGUGAGUUGGGAGACAACUGGAAGCUCAUUCUUGAACAGACCAGCAGUGCUGUGGAGCAGGGCUGGGGAUUCUGACGGUGACCUUUACGGACACCUUCCACAGUGGAGCGGUUCCUUGUCUGGACGAUGUGGUGAUACCCCUGUCCUGGUGUGAGGACUCAGCAGCUCUGCAGAGGGAGAGCCCCACAGAAAUGGUCCUGGCACUCCCGCACCUAGACCCUGGGGUAGCCCACACAAUGCAGCCCUCCCAGGAUGAUGAGUUCCAGAAGCAGUACCUGGACUUGCUGCAGAUGAAGAAUGAACUAGAAGAAACCUGUAAGAAGAAGGAUGAGCUUCUCCGUGAUGCACAAAGAGCCUUAGCAGGUGUGGGGAGGGCUCAGCGCAUGAUGGGGCAGGAGGUUCCUGCCAUGCCCUCAGUGCACCUACCCUGGCAGGAAGAUCUUCCUGAAGCAAGGAGUUUCCUCUCCUUCUGUGGAAUGCACACUCUGCUAAAUCUGAAAAUAACAAGGCAGGGUGUGGUUGCUCAUCAGCUGGGCGGUCAGGGCCUUUCCCAGCAUGUUCUCAAACCUGCCCUCCAGGUGUGGUCACCAGUUGAAUUCAGACAUUUCCCUCUGCUCUUUCAAGACAGUAUGGUGUCUGAGAGAGUGGGGGGUUGUGGGACAGGGGGCUGUAGUCGCUUUCAGGCUUAACCUCUGUUAUCUUUCCUCUCUGAAUGAAAAUCUUCCUGGGGCAGAGGAGCAGGACAAAAGAGAGACAGUGGAGAGAGAAAAGCAGCUUCUUGAGAAAAACUGUGAAGAUCUGCAGCAAAAGUUAAUGCUUUUAGAAAUAACUCUCAAGGAAACCAGGAUCCAAUUGAAAAAGGAGAGGAAAGAGAGAGAAGACCUUCAGAGAGAGCAGGAUGAGAGGAUUCGGAGGCUUGAGGCCCAAAUGAACAUUAUCACUGCAAAUAAGCAAAAUGCUAAAAAUUACUGCAUUUCAAAGACAACGGCAAAUGAUAGCGAAGAAUACAGUUCAGAGACUUCAUGGUGGUCUAAAAUUUGCAAGCUGAUACAAGAGUUGUAUUUCCUAAUUACCAAGUUUUUCUGUUGUGGAUAAUUUCAGGUAAUUUUUAUAAGUUUUCAUAACAGGUUUCUGAUAUAGCUUAUUUUUACAUGUAUGCACCUUUUCUGUUUUGUGGCAAAAUUUUAGUAGAAAGAUAUAAAAUACUACUAUAGGGCAUCAAUGCCUGGCAAACAAAAGAUAUAGUCAAUGUGGCUGGAUAGUUAAUUCAAAUGGACAUGGAAAUACGGAUUUGAAGAAAAAGAGGUCAGAUCUGUAUUAUCCUGGAAAAGAAACAUAUUGGAAUAUAUUUAUCAAAAAAUGCUAAAUCCUUCUGAAAGUCGCACAUGAAUCAUUACACAAAUGGAUAUCCAUGCUGUGUUCUUGAGUAGGACAGGCCGGUUCCAUAUGCAAAUCAAUUCUUAGUUCACUUAUAAAUUUCAUGUGUUCUGAAUUAAAAUUUCAGGAAGGUUAAUUGUAAAAUUUAAAUGGAGCUGAUCAAAAACAAAAUAAAAAAGCCAAGACAAUUCAGAAGAGGUACAAUGAAAUUUAUAGAACUGCAGUAAUUAGAACAGUGUGUCAACUGAGCAUGAAGACACAACAACAGAACACACUGCAUAGUCUAAAAGUAGAACCCCACCAUAUAUAGGAAUUAACUGCAUGUGAAAAGUGUUACUUCAAAUUAGUGGGAGAGUAUGAAUUGUACAAUACCUGUUGUCAAACUGGACAGCUGUGCAGAAUGAAAGGGUGAUUAGAUCUAUUGUAAAUUUUGCACAAAGUGAAUUCCAGCUUGACCUCAGAUUAAACAUGAAAAAACUGCAUAAAAUCAGUAAAUGGCAGAUAAUUUAUGAAUAAUCUUGGAACAUCAAAUUUAUUUUUAAAUGCCAUAAAACCUGAAGACAUGAAAGUACUGACAAAACUACAUAAAAAAUAAAGAUAAAAUUUGUUGUGGUCAAAAAGAACCUAAAGAAAUUCAGAAGCCAAAAAUGUUCUCAAGACAGCCUUGCUUUAUGUCAGAGAAAAGAGCUGAUUUUAUAACUUAUAUAUCAUAAAGAGCCACAAGUCAAAAAAAUGGGCAAACUCUGAGUAGAUAGCUUAUAGAAAAGAUGUUCAAGUAACUCAAAAUAAGAGAAAUGAAACUAAAACCAUGAGAUGUAGUGUUUCACUUCAUAUGCUAUCAAACCGCAUUACCAAUGUUUCUGAAAACAUGUCCUUUCAUGGGAGUCCAAAUGGUAUAAUAUCUAUUGCAAAUUGUGUCUAAUAUUUCUUAAGUUUUAAUAGAUGUCCAUUUUGGCCCCACAGGUUCAGUUUUAAGGCAUACAUGCACUCUCUCUCAUACUCAUACAGUAAGAAAAAUUAUGUAUUUAUAAGAUGUCCACUGCAGCACUCACUAUAACUUUAAAGACAGGACCUACUUAUAUGUUCAUCUAUAUGGGAGUGGUAAUAUAAGUUUUAGCACACUUAUACAAUGGAAUAUUAUAUAGCCAGAAAAUUGAGAAACAGAGCACUAUUUGUAAUGUGGGGAAAGUGGGGUGCAAACCAACAGGAAUAGUGGCACUCAUAUAUACUUGUAUGUAUACCCUUAGAUGAUCUCUGGAGUAACAUGAGGAACUAGCAAUGUUGGUUCCUUCUAAAAAACAGGGAUGAUGGUGGUGGUGGUGGUAAUAGGGAAUUUUGCAUUCUUAGAAAAGCAUCAGCCAGUUCAAAGGAGAGGUCUGAUAGUGAGGUCCCAAACUAGAAAAAACAAAACGUGAAUCCUAAUCUUGUUUGUAUUAUGGAGUUGAUUUCUACUUGCUCAAAUUCUUUGAAAAAUGAGAUAUAAAGUAUGAUGUGAUUCUGAAAUCCCAGCUGGUGUCUUUCACUUUCUAGCUGCAAUUUAUAGUUUUAGGUGUUAGGGGACAGUGGGUCUGCAGUGUAUCUUUGGUGUUUUUGGACUUUCCUUUCAGCUGACUUAAUAUUUGCACACUAUGCUUUUGUUAUAAUGAAUUACUUCCAGUUGCACAAGCUUGACAGGUUACCCCUUUAUUCUAGAUAGCUGUGCACAGUAUUUGGACUUCUUCAAAUAACCUCUUUUACUGAUCCUCACCUUCAUUUUGCAGGCUGGUUUUUCCUUGAAGUCUUGGAUUUCCUGAAUCCCUGAAACUGGGUUGUGUGGCCCUCCUUUGUACUCGCAUUGCACCUGCAGCAUGAUUUUGAAAAUUUACAUUACCCAUUUACUCUGUCUCACUGGUGAUGCCUUGCUACCAAGGACUAGUUUAUCUUUGUCACUGUAAUCUUAGCUCCUACUUCUAUGUCCAGCACUCGAUCAGGAGGUGGAAAAUGUUGGCUGAAUAAAGUUUCCCACUUUCUAUAUCCUCAUUAUGACAGAUGCUUCAAAACACUCUUAAAACAAAGGGUGUAGUUUUUGAUAUGGAGAACAAAGGCAAAAGGAAAUGUAGACGAAAUUAAAUUUCCUUAUAACUUGCAGCCCACUGACAAAUACUUGAGGCAGGCAGGUAUUUGGAACUCCAGGAACUCCCAACUGUCUUAAAGCUUUGCUAGAGGCAAAAUGCUACCUUAGCUUGACAAUAGCCAGGCCUCCAGGAUCCUGUAAUGUUAGGAGUUAGUUGGAAAGUUAGGUGGUCAGGGCCUGGGUCCCCAACAAGAAGAUAUGGAGCCAGGACAGCUAAAAUAAAACAGCACUAAUAUCCUGUUUUUGCAGCUUAGACAGGACUGUACUAGCAUUCUGUUUUAUGCCUUUGCAGAAAUGACUUCUGCAAAACGUCCUAAAAUAAAACCAUAAAGCAUUUGUCACCAUCACGGGCAAGGAGCAGUUAAAACCUAAGCCCCCAGAAGUCAGACAAAAAAAGAAAAAAGAAAAAAAGACAAUCAGCACAUUGACAUUAACUUAAUAGGCAGAAAGAAAGUUUGAAGCCCCACGACCAAGAGCUGAGGGCAUUAAGGGGAUACAAAAUCCUGUAACAAUUGGAAACUGGAACUGAAUACAUGGUGAAUCAGCUCUUUUCUCAGGAAGAACAUUGUGGCAAGUCUCAGCAUGUAUGUCCUCACAGCCCUAUUUUCCAGGAACUGCAGUCCCAAUUCACUCUACCCACUUCAUAUUAGGAUCUUUAAAACUGAUGUGAUUUGAUGUGGCGGUCAGGAGCAAACAGCCAAGAAAGAAUUCUUAAGACGUUUUUGGUGCAAAAAAAAAAAAGGGUGGUUUUAUUAAAGCAUGGGGACAGGACCCAUGGGCAGAAAGAGCUGUACUGGGAAUGUGAGGAGUGACCGAUUAUAUACUUUUAAAUUGGGAGGGGUAGAGACAAAGGAUGUUUCCAAAAGGAUUUUCAUAUGUUAAAGAAGACUUAACUGUUGCAGGAAUUCUCUGCCUUUAGUGCCCACAGUUCUUGGUCACCCCACUUCAAAGAAUGGUGGGCAGCAAAGUUUACUGAAGGAUAGUACAAAACUCCCAGAGAGGGAGGGCAUACCCAAGAGGGUUGCCCCUGGAGUUUCUAAGUUUAGGGUUUUUUAUGAGCUCUUUUGUGGAACUUCCUUAAACAAUCAAGGCGUGCUGAGUUGUGCCAAUCAGGGCUUUGGUCAAGUACCUGUCUACCUAUUAGGUUAAUGUCCACAUGCUGAUGAUCCUUUUUUGCUGACAUCUGGGGGCUUAGGUCUUAACUUCUCCUUGCCCAUGACACUGACAAAUGCUUCUGUGGUUAAUUGCCUUACUUUAGGAUGUAAUGCAGAAGUCAUUUCUGCAAGGGCUGCAAAGCAGAAUGUCAGUGCAAAACAGGAUGUCAGUGCUGUUUUAUUUUAGCUGUCCUGACUCCAUAUUUUCUUGUUCAGGACUCUGGCCCUGACUACCUUACUGUCCAACUAACUCCUAACACUGUGACAACCACUCACAAAUAAUAUCACUCACUUUUGACUCCCAGGUCAAUUGUGAGGUUUAAAUUUUAAAAGAACAUAUGAAAAGAUGCUCAACAUCACUCAUCAUCAGGGAAAUGAAAAUCAAAACCACAAGAAGAUAUCACCUCACACCUGUCAAAAUAGCCACAAGUAAGAACACAGGAAACAACAGAUGUUGGUGAGGAUGUGGAGAAAAACGAACCCUCUUGCACUGUUGGUGGGAAUGCAAAUUGGUGUAGCCACUGUGGAAAACAGUAUGAAGGUUCCUCAAAAAUUAAAAAUAGAACCACCAUAUGAUCCAGUAAUCACACUACUUGGUAUUUAUCCCCAAAAUAUAAAAACCCUAAUUCAAAGGGAUACAUGCACCCCUAUGUUUAUUGCAGUAUUAUUUACAACAGCCAAACUAUGGAAGCUGCCCAAGUGUCCAUUGGUAGAUGAAUAGAUCAAGAAGAUGUGGUAUGUGUGUGUAUGUAUGUAUGUAUGUGUGUGUGUGUGUGUGUGUGUGUGUAAUGGAAUAUUAUUCAUCCAUAAAAAAGAAUAAAAUCUUGCCAUUUGCAAUGACAGAGAUGGAGCUAGAGAGUAUAAUGCUAAGCAAAAUAAGUCAGAGAAAGACAAAUAACAUAUGAUAUCACUCAUAUGCGGAAUUUAAGAAACAAAACAAGUAAAGAAAAAAAAAAAGAGAGAGAGACAAACCGAGAAUCAAACUCUUAACCAUAAAGAACAAACUGAUGGUUACCAGAGGGGAGGUAGGUGAGGAGGUGAGUGAAAUAGGUGAUGGGGAU
ensembl:lncRNA